GCAGGGCGAGGUGGCAUGUGCCUGUAAGUCCCAACUACUCGGGAGGCUGAGGCAGGGGAAUCACUUGAGUCCAGAAGUUCUGGGCUAUAGUGCACUAUGUCAAUCAGGUGUCUGCACUAAGUUCAGCAUCAACAUCAUGACCUCCAGAGAGUGGGGGACCACCAGGUUACCUAAGCAGUGGUGAACCAUUUCAGGCUGGAAAUGGAACAGGUCAAAAAUCUCAUGCUGAUCUGUAGUGGAAUCAUGCCUGUGAAAAGUCACUGCACACGAGCCUGGGCAAUAUAGCAAGAUCUUGUCUCUU
ensembl:misc_RNA Metazoa_SRP Metazoan signal recognition particle RNA